AAUUAAAAAUUAUUUUUUUAUUUUGAUUUACAUUAAUUAUUUUAUUUAAAUAAAAUAAAUUUAAUUUAGUUUAAGUAUUUUUUAAAGAUAAAAUUUUUUUUAUUAUAGUUAAUUAGUAUUGAGAAAGAAAUUUGAAAAAUUUUGAAAAUUAAGUUUUUAAAAAGUAAUAUUAAAUUUAUGUACCUUGUGUAUCAGGGUUUAUUUAAAUUAUAAUAUAAAAUAUAUUUUUUUCGAAUUUAAAAGAGUGAAAUAUUUAUAAUUUUUAAUGUUUAAUUAUUAUUUUUAAUAAAUAUUUGGUAAUGAAAUGUUAGUCGUUUUUAAAUAUAUCUAAUUUUUUAAUAAAUAAAUUUAAUUUAUAUAUUAAAUUUAUAAAUAAAAAAAUUUUUAUUUUUAUUUAUUUUUAAUAUAAAUAUUUUAAGGGAUAAGCUUUAAAUUAUAUUAUUAUAAUUUGUUUAAUAAAUAAAAUAAUAUAAUUUAGACUUAAAAAUAGUUUUAAUUUAUAAAAAUGUUUUAAUUUAUUAUUUGAAAUAUAAAAUUUUUAUAAAUAUUUAAUUUUUUAUUAAAAUUUUUUAUAAAAUUAAUUAAUUUUAUAAAUAAUGAUAAAAUUAGUAAAUUAUAAUUUUAAAAAUUAUAAAAUUAAUUUAAAUAUUAUUUAAAGGAAUUCGGCAAAAAUUAUAUUUGCAUGUUUAACAAAAACAUCGUUUUUUGAAAAUAAUUUAAAAUUUGAUCUGCUCAAUGAGAAAUUAUCUUAAAUAGCCGCAGUAUUUUGACUGUGCAAAGGUAGCAUAAUAAUUAGUCUUUUAAUUAAAGACUGGUAUGAAUGAUUGGACAUAAUAUAAACUGUCUUUAUUUAAAUUUAAAAUUGAAUUUAAUUUUUAAGUUAAAAAGCUUAAAUUUUUUUAAAGGACGAGAAGACCCUAUAGAGUUUUAUAUUAUUUUAAUUAUUAAAUUUAAAUUUAUAUUUUUUAUUUAAAAUAAUAUUUUAUUGGGGUGAUAGAAAAAUUUAAUUAACUUUUUUAUUUAAAAUUACAUAAAUGAAUGAAUUUUUGAUCCUAAAUUUUAGAAUAAUAGUUUAAAUUACCUUAGGGAUAACAGCGUAAUUUUUUUUUAGAGUUCUUAUCAAUUAAAAAGAUUGCGACCUCGAUGUUGGAUUAAAAUUUAUUAUAGGUGCAGGUGUUUAUAAUAAUUAGGUCUGUUCGACCUUUAAAAUUUUACAUGAUCUGAGUUCAAACCGGUGUGAGCCAGGUUGGAUUCUAUCCUUAAUUAUAAUUUGAAAAUAUUUAGUACGAAAGGAAUAAUAUUUUAAUUUAAAAUUUAUUUAAUUUUUGAUUAAUAUUAAUUUA
rnacentral:rRNA from 1 species